rnacentral:rRNA from 1 species
UACGGGGGGAGCAAGCGUUGUUCGGAUUUACUGGGCGUAAAGGGCGCGUAGGCGGCGCCGCAAGUCGACUGUGAAAUCUCCGGGCUUAACCCGGAAAGGUCAGCCGAUACUGCGGGGCUAGAGUGCAGAAGGGGCAACUGGAAUUCUCGGUGUAGCGGUAAAAUGCGUAGAUAUCGAGAGGAACACCUGCGGCGAAGGCGGGUUGCUGGGCUGACACUGACGCUGAUGCGCGAAAGCUAGGGGAGCGAACGGG